GGGGUUGUGGCUCAGUGGUAGAGCACUCCCCUACCACGUGUGAGGUUCCAGGUUCAAUCCUCAGCACCA
rnacentral:tRNA from 1 species